AGCAGCCGCGGUAAUUCCAGCUCCAAUAGCGUAUAUUAAAGUUGUUGCAGUUAAAAAGCUCGUAGUUGAAUUUCGAGAUCAAAUUGUUGGUCGUGCCUUGGUACGCACUGGCAUUAUUGGUUUCUCCCUUCUGAAGAACCAUGAUGUCAUUAAUUUGGUGUCUUGGGGAAUCAGGACUGUUACUUUGAAAAAAUUAGAGUGUUUAAAGCAGGCUCGCGCUUGAAUACAUUAGCAUGGAAUAAUGAAAUAGGACGUUCGAACCUAUUUUGUUGGUUUCUAGGAUCAACGUAAUGAUUAAUAGGGAUAGUUGGGGGCAUUAGUAUUCAAUUGUCAGAGGUGAAAUUCUUGGAUUUAUUGAAGACUAACUACUGCGAAAGCAUUUGCCAAGGAUGUUUUCAUUAAUCAAGAACGAAAGUUAGGGGGAUCGAAGACGAUCAGAUACCGUCGUAGUCUUAACCAUAAACUAUGCCGACUAGGGAUCGGAUGAUGUUAAUUUAUGACUCAUUCGGCGCCUUACG
rnacentral:rRNA from 1 species